CCUUUGCAGCAAAGCAUCUUACCAUCCCUUAUUAUUUAAAUAAUAGUGUGCAUUGUUAAUUCAGGCUGAAGAUAGUGCUAACUUCAUCAGUGUUGGAUAUUACAGUUAAUGCUGAUGGGUUAAAUUUUAUGAUCUCCACACAAGAAAGAUUCAUCCACUCAUACCACUUGAGUUAUAAUUUGUGACGUUUUUAUCUUUCUGCCUCCCACUCUUUUUGAGAUCUAUUAAAGAUUAUACUGAAUACUCGAUACCAGUCAGUUAUAAAUUUGUUGAAGUUCUCUUAUUAGCAGCAAAGAAAAGUUUACAUGGUGCCAUGCUAAAACCCUCGCUUCAAUCAGAAAGAAUUCGUUACAGACCUGCGGAUUUCAAAUAUAAUUUAUCCUUAACAAUUCAUGAAGCAGUAUGGUGCCUCCACAAAGGCUGCGCAAGAUUUGGAUUUAAUUUCCAGAUCUUGAGAUGCCUAGAUUUUCUAGCAUACAUGAAUCAAUUUGGAAAAAACAUAUCUGAAUCACAGAGUUUUCGUCUUGCUUUUUGUGUGGUGAUAGAUUCAGAUUUUAUCGACCAAAUCAUCACUUAUCUUUACUCUGUAAUGUUUCUUAUUUCCUGCCAGACCAGUUAGCGUGGACACGCCCGCUCCGUAUCCUAGCCGAGGCGGCUGGUGCAGGCACAAAAGGGGUCGACAGGUUGUUGCGGCGGUGUAGUGCCACUGCGACCAAGGAUGUUGACGGUCAAAGGUGACAGUGUGGAGGGGCUCGAGCUUGCGGGACGGUGCGCAGCCAAGGUGGUGUUGAGCACUUUAAAACAAUUUUCAAUCGAAUCAGCCACCUCCGUCGCCUUGCAAAUUUUCGUAGGCUCAAACACUUUUCGGAGCACUUCAUGUCUUACAGAUGAUUUUGUAUUAGAACAAUAUGAAACAGAGAUUACAACUGAAUCAACCCCAUUUGCCGUUUCACUUGCAAGACACCUACACACUGUUGUUUGGUUCUGAGAUGUAUGGAGCGUUUUGGUGUUCUCAUUACAAUGAGCAAAAACUGACCAAAAAGUGCUAAAUAUGCAAGUCUUGACGCUAAAAGAUUUAUCAUCCCAAGAUUCAACUGGAAGGUUCUUGUGUGUGCUGCUCGAAUAUGGAAGUGUAGGCAUCAGAAAAACAAAGCAGAACUUAUAUGAGCUAGAGUUUAUUGUCGAUGAGGCUGAAGAUCAAAGAAGAAGCACAUAUCAGGC